GUUAAUGGAAACUACUCUUUCAUCCCAUGCACUGUAUCAUCAAUGAUGUUUCAUAGUCGACAACAGUCAGCUAUUCCAGAUGUCUUAAGAGAAAAUACCAGCAAAAUUUUGACUGUUGUUAACAGAAGAUACAUUCAUUGGAUUUUACUGGCGAUUCCUUACCAACAUAAAGCAUGAGAGGGAAGGUUGGAGAUACUGUCAAAUACAACACUCUAAACAACAAGGCAAUAAUUUCUGUGGAAUUCACUGCUUAAAACUUGCAGAGUCAUUGGUAGCUGGUUCUUCUUUGUAUAUCAGCCCAGAUAGUGUUUCGGAAUAUCGAUGUCAGAUCUUCAAAACAUUGAUUAACAAUCAAGAUACCCAAACCAUAUAUAUCUGCAGGGUGUGCAUGAAGAAAACCCCUUCAGCUGCUGCAGGGAAGAAGAUUGCAUGGGUUGGAUGUGAUUCUUGCCAGUUGUAUUGGAUCCAUCGAUCAUGCUCUGGAUUAGAACGCGUUUCUUCACAGAUAAUUUUUAUCUGUGAUAUUUGUGAAUUGAAACAGUGACUGAAAAGUUGAAAUUUCCCAUUUUUGGCCACGUUGCACAAUGUGCAUACAUCUUAUGAAAUGGUGAAUGGCUGGUGGGUGUUCCUGUAAUAGGGUACCUUCUUUGUGUAAUUUACUCCUCUCACACUUUUACUUGACAUUCCUCAAACUUUUCACAAUUUCAUCUUCUUCUCCAGAACCACUGGGCCAAUUUGAAACAAACGUGGCCAAAAACAUCCUUGAGUGAAAGGCUUUCAAGUGUGUUCAAAUGAAGGGCCAUGUCCCGUUCAAAGGAAAGAUAAUCACAAAAAUAGGGUGGGAUCAUUAAAAAAUCUUCUCAAGAACCACUGGGCCAGAAGAACUGAAAAUUACAUGAGAGCUUCCUGAAAUAGUGCAGAUUCAAGUUUGUUAAAAUUAUGGUCCAUUGUGUAAGUAACUCCUAUCACAUCUCUUACUUGACAUUCCUCAAACUUUGUACAGCUAUUAUCUCAUAAAACACAUUGAUGUACUGGAGGUAUUCACGUACAACAUGUAUGUAUGUUUUCAUGUCUGUUUUUCUGUGCUUCUUUUUCUUUCUUUAUGUACUGCAUUAAGGUUUGUGUUUUUAAAAAAAAUGGCAUAUGUUUGAUUUAUUUUUACACUGUCUGUUAACAUGUUUGUGAAUAUCCACAUGUUGCUAUAAAUAAAUAAACUACUACUACUAUAGAAAUAUUAAAGAUGUGCAUCUGUCUUAUUGGAAGCGAUAAGCCAUUUUUUGAAAAAUUUACAUGUAUACGAUGUAGUUAAACUUUUUCAUUUUUAAUCAUGAUACCUACUUUGUGUAGCUAACUCCUCUCACAGCAUUUACUUGCCAUCUUUCAGACCUUGUGCAUUAUAGAUGUUAUAAAAACAUUGAAGGUAUAUGUUUGACAUUUUAAAGGUGCUUUUUUUUGUUUCCAAUGAAUUCUAUUUUUCAUAUGUUAUUUUUCCAGUAUGUUUAGUACUGCUGUCUCUAUGAUACAUAACAUAUUUUAAAGCAACCCAGCCAUUUCUUCACCAUGUCCGUCCGUCUAUGUGUCCGUAGUCAUCAUUUGUCCAGAGGAUAUCUUUAACACCAAUGAACAGAUUUCAUUAAAACAAUAUUGUAUAUCUUAUAUGAAUAAUGAAGUUGUGCACCUGCUAUUUUGAUUGAGAUAUGUUAACAUUCAAGGAAGUUGUGGAUAUUUUUCUAUAAACUUUGUAUAUAUAUUAUGUAUAUAAUGAAGUUGUGCUUCUGUCAUUUUUAUUGAGAUUCAUUUUCAAGGAAAUUAUGAAUACUUUCAUUUUACAGGUGUUUUGGUUUAGUCAUUGUAAUGGUGUGUUCUUUUACAGAGACUACUGCAUUGGUUUAGGAGAGGGUAUAUUCGAAUCAUCUGUCUGUGGAUGAUUUUGUAAAUAAAAGAUGUAUCAUUUUCUGGCUCAUGUACGCUGAAUAAUACAUGUAGUAUUAGGGGUAUAAGUCCCACUAAGACAGUUCUAGAUUCACAAUCAGCAGGUUUAUUAUUCACGACAUUUGUGUGACAAAAAUUUUAUUUGCUUUCUGAAACGUGUUCUGAAAACUACAUUAUAAUAAAACUGAAGAAAAAUUACAAUAUGUAUUCAUGUUUUCUCAUCUAUGAUAAAUAAAUAACUAUGAAACACUUCAUUUAUUUCUGGAAAUGAAAUCAAUUAUGGUUUAUAUGAAAAUUUCUUUGAACUGACAUUAGAAGGAUUACUUAAUUGGAAUACAAUGUAACCGUGCUGGGAUGAAAUAAUGUCCAACCCCCAUAGAUAAACAGUAUUAUCAUGUGCAUUCUAAGCAUGAAAUAUACACCCAAGUGAGAAUGUAUGUACUUUUGAUUCGUAAAAAGAGAAUUGCUACAGGAACACGUUUGAAUUUCUGACCACCAUGGAACUAAGUGCGGUGUCUACUUAUGACUGCAGUACAAGUAAUAUUCACAAUACGAACAAUUUUGGUACUUGCUCGGUAAACCUAGGUACCUUAUAAGGUGAAAUUAUGAUAUAUUGUUACGUAAUCAGUUUAUUGCGCAAAAAUGACAAAAUUGUUUUCAUUUUUUUAAAAAUGAAAUUCAAGGUGUAUGGGGUUUUAUAGGAAUUAACACAGAGGACAGAUAAACAUUUAUACUAUUUUAGUUCCUGGGCUGAAAAGAAGACCUAUCUUGAUUUUGCCCGCAUCAAUCCAAUAUUAAUGCAUGCAAUAAUUCAUUUGAUACUGAAUAUCCACUUUGGAAUAAGUGGUCUCUAUCGUGAAAAUGAAGCUCUCUUUGGAUGACAGUAAUAAUGAUGCGCGUAUAUCCCGAAGUAGACUGAUAUAAAAUACACCUUCCAGAAUUAGACACGUAACUGGUAUCAUUUAAUAAUUUAAGCGAUUAAAAUGAAAAUAUCUGCAUUGGAUAUAUGGAAAGGUAAUUAAUGAAAGCAUAAUUGAAUUGCAGUACACAACAAUUCAAUAGAUGAGAACAAUAAUCAAUUUGAUGCGAUUUCUAACUCUUAUCCUUGGACGAAUUUGGCUCCACUUUUUUGGCACGCUGUUUUUUGCUAUAUUUAGCUCUAAAACUUCAUAGUUGAGCAUCACUGAAGAGACAUUAUUUGUCGAAAUGCGCAUCUGGUGCAUCAAAAUUGGUACCGUACAAGUUUUACAUAUUGCCAUCUAUACACAAUUUACCUGUAGAAUUACCCGUGCAAAACACCAGUAUUUGGAUAGAGAAUUCACGUAACCAUUUUAUUGUGUAGAGGUGACAAAAUUAUUUUCAUUUUUUAAAAUCAAAUUAAAAGUAUAUGGGUUUCAGCGAAAGAGUUAACAACGGGGACAGAAAAGCAUUUAUAAUAUUUUAGUUCCUGGGCUGAAAAGAAGACCUACCAGUAAAUAUACUUCAGGUGAAAAAAAAUGGUGAUAAAAAUUUCCCCUUGCAUCAAACCGACCUUAUUAGUGAAAUUAAAUUAUCGUAUUGGAAACUAUUCACAGUAGCACAAGAUUUGACAUUUAUGUACAUAGACUUUAUUCAAAUUUUAAAGUGGGAAUGAAACUUCAUUAAAAGUAACAUCAAUUCAAUUAAAGAUCUCUUCAAAUAAUUAAUGAUAUCUUCAAUUCUGAAUUAUUGCCUCUAUUAAUUGAAUUGAUAAUAUCAUCAAUUCUUCAGCUGAAUUGAUGCGCGCUUUAAUUGAAUUAACGAUCUCUUCAACUGAAUUAAUGAUAUCAACGAUUGAAUUCAUGUGCGCUACAAUUCAAUUGAAGAGAACAAUAAUUGAUAUAAUGCAUUAAAUCAAUUGAUGAGAGCAAUAAUUGAAUUGAUGCGCGCAUUAAUUCAAUUAUUGCUCUCUUCGGUUGAUUAAUGAUAUCUUUAAUUCAUUUGAAGAGAGCAAUAAUUCUUUCAGAGAUAGCAACUAUAUGAUUAAAGAUAUCUUCAAUUCAACAUAUCCGCAAUUGAAUUAAUUAUCUUUUUGAUUGAAUUGUUGCUCUCUUUUAAAAAAAAGAAUUGAUGUGCGCAUUAUUGCGAGCUAUAUUUCUAUGAAAUUGAUGUCCUUGCGCUAGUUACGUAUUUUAAUAUCUUUUAUCACCUCUGAAAAGCAGACAAAAAUCAUCCCACUACUCUGUUUGGAAAAAAGUAAAAAUAAAAAGGAAAGGCAGAGGGAGAAAGAUAAAAAAGAAAAGAAAUUAAUAUAAAUUCAAAAAAGAAGUAAGGAAGACAAAUGAUUGAACAAUGUUACAUUCGGCGUCUGACAAUUCAGCAUGACGGUGAAUAUAUGGAUAUAAUUGUUAGUAAAAACUUUGUAUGAUGCUUGUGAUUUAAUUGACAAAUAAGUCCAAUGCAAGGUGAAAA